rnacentral:lncRNA from 1 species
GGUCUUCUUCAUCCCAACAGUCCGCGUAUUAUGAUGAACAGGGCGAUCCUUCCCAGUGGUCUUCCAGUAUCCUUUUUCAGUGGCCCUAUUGGUCCUCGACCCAUUGCCAUACUUCUUAUCCAACAUACUAAAAAAAUACCACUCCUUGUCCCUAGUUUUCAACCUCGACUUAUCUAAACCCACCAGGAUAAAGUAAAAUUAAAAAUAAAAUUAGACAAAUUAGGACAUCGUAUCCUAACAAAUAGAUUAAAGACAAAUAUUUACAAGUAUAUAUAUUUACCAUACCUGAAGAAUAACUAGAUCUGUACAAAAAUCGUAACUUUGUGAGCAAAAAAUGAAAUUUAGGGAAAACAAAGUACCAGGUAGGUCCCAAGGCUCGGACUUGUAAAUAUCGGUGACGCAGAUUGGGUUGAACCGG